GAUGAACGCUGGCGGCGUGCCUAAUACAUGCAAGUCGAGCGAACAGACGAGGAGCUUGCUCCUCUGACGUUAGCGGCGGACGGGUGAGUAACACGUGGAUAACCUACCUAUAAGACUGGGAUAACUUCGGGAAACCGGAGCUAAUACCGGAUAAUAUAUUGAACCGCAUGGUUCAAUAGUGAAAGACGGUUUUGCUGUCACUUAUAGAUGGAUCCGCGCCGCAUUAGCUAGUUGGUAAGGUAACGGCUUACCAAGGCAACGAUGCGUAGCCGACUUGAGAGGGUGAUCGGCAACACUGGAACUGAGCAACGGUCAAGACUCCUACGGGAGGCAGCAGGAGGGAAUCUUCCGCAAUGGGCGAAAGCUUGACGGAGCAACGCCGCGUGAGUGAUGAAGGUCUUCGGAUCGUAAAACUCUGUUAUUAGGGAAGAACAAAUGUGUAAGUAACUAUGCACGUCUUGACGGUACCUAAACAGAAAGCCACGGCUAACUACGUG
rnacentral:rRNA from 1 species